rnacentral:rRNA from 1 species
UUACCACCUUGACAUUAAANAGAUUUCGUAAGAAACAGGUGCUGCAUGGCUGUCGUCAGCUCGUGUCGUGAGAUGUUGGGUUAAGCCCCGCAACGAGCGCAACCCUGUCUUAGUUGCUACCAGAGACUCUAAGAGACUGCCGGUGACAACCGGAGGAAGGUGGGGAUGACGUCAAGUCCUCAUGGCCCUUAUGGUGGGCUUCACACGUCAUACAAUGGCGUACAAGGGGCACCGCGAGGGGAGCAAUCUCAAAACGAUCGUAGUCCGGAUCGUAGUCUGCAACUCGACUACGUGAAGCUGGAAUCGCUAGUAAUCGCGAUCAGCAUGCGCGGUGAAUACGUUCCCGGGUCUUGUACACACCGCCCGUCACACCNUGGGAGUGGGUUGCCGAA